AUAGGAUUCCCUUAGUAACGGCGAGUGAACAGGGANAAGCCCAAAUUUGUAAUCUGGCACUUUUUACAAGUGUCCGAGUUGUAAUUUGUAGAGCUGUUAUCCGUACUGGACCAUGUACAAGUCUGUUGAAAAGCAGCAUCAUUGAAGGUGAAAAUCCUGUAGAUGAUAUGGACUACCAGUAUAUUUGUGAUACGGNUUCUAAGAGUCGAGUUGUUUGGGAAUGCAGCUCAAAGUGGGUGGUAAAUUCCAUCUAAGGCUAAAUAUAAGUGAGAGACCGAUAGCAAACAAGUACCGUGAGGGAAAGAUGAAAAGAACUUUGAAAAUAGAGUUAACAGUACGUGAAAUUGCUGAAAGGGAAACGUUUGAAGUUAGUUUUGUAUUCGUUGGAUCAGCUUCGCAAGGAGUGUAUUCUGAUGAUAAGCAAGUCAACAUCAGUCUAUGAGUGUCGGAUAAGGGUUUUGAGGACGUAGCAAUUUAAUUGUGUUAUAACUUGAAGCUUGGAUACGAUGCUUUGGAUUGAGGAACGCGUAGUAAGCUUUGAGCGGAUUCGAAAGGAUCUCCUUACUAUGGAUGUUGGUGAAAUAACUUUAAGCGACCCGUCUUGAAACACGGACCAAGGAGUCUAACAUGCUUGCGAGUAUUAGGGUGUUGAAACCCGAAUGCGUAAUGAAAGUGAAUCUAAGAUGUGAUCCGCAAGGUGCAACAUCGGCCGGUCUGGAUCAUUUAUGUGAAGGUACUGAGCAAGAGCAAGUAUGUUAGGACCCGAAAGAUGGUGAACUAUGCCUGGAUAGGGUGAAGUCAGAGGAAACUCUGAUGGAAGCUCGUAGCGGUUCUGACGUGCAAAUCGAUCGUAGAAUCUGGGUAUAGGGGCGAAAGACUAAUCGAACCAUCUAGUAGCUGGUUCCUGCCGAAGUUUCCCUCAGGAUA
rnacentral:rRNA from 1 species